AGACCAUGAUGAGGACAACGCUGAAGUAAUUCUUUGUAUCUUUCCCAUGCGUCGUACAAUGAUUCAAAAUCUUGCUACAUGAAUGACGUGAUAUCAUUCUUUAUUUU
rfam:Theobroma cacao cultivar Matina 1-6 chromosome 9, whole genome shotgun sequence.